AUGCAAAUGAGCUCGCUCCGUUGAUAUCGGUCCGAUUACAUCUGAUAUCGGUCCGUUCCCAUCGAAAGUUCUUGCACGAACUCCGCAAAAACUGCUACACCCCUUGAACUGAGCUUCGGUAGUUCGGUUCCUCUGGGGUUGCGAUUGUGUGGAAAGGUCUCGAAUCUUCGUUUGCUCGCUUCCUUCGCUCCGAAUUUGCGACGUGUCUUCUCUCAAUGGGCCUUGCUCAACGAGGCCAUUUUCUUUGCUAACGCUUCGCUCUCUUUGUUUGUCUUUUCAAAGACUUUUUCUAGCGCUUUCCUGGAUGUUUUGAAAACGUCGAUUGUCAUCCAGUCAGUAGUUGUUGAUUGAAAACCUUGACCUUUGAUUCUAAAGCGAAUAUCCCUUUUCAUCCCCAACUUUUUUGAGAGAGAUCGAGUACCUUUUCAAAGGAUUUUUCAAAACAUUUCCUCCCUCUCUUUGAUGGGUAAAAUACUGGCUUUCGCGUUCGCGUUUCUAAAGGUUCUUUCUCUCUCUUUUCUCUUGCUCUCUACAAAAGGUUUCAAAACUUCUUCCUCCAGCAACCCUUCAAUUUGAACGGAGGCUUUUCAAAUCCGUUUUGCUUUCCACAAAGAAGCUACUUUGUGCCGAUAAUUUCGGUGAUUUGGAAUUGGAUGAUAAACCUACGUGCACUGCAGCUUGGCAUUCCUUUUCGAACUCGAAGCAGUUGUCGACGGUCGUGUUCUGUGCUACAGUGCUACAGCUACAGCUACAGUAGCUACGUUUACCCGCUGCUGCCCGUUUUUUGGUUUGCGAUGGCUGCUGGCUGUUCCCCUUCUUCACUGGUAUCAGAAUCGAUGUCAUGCGAAUACAAAUAAACGAUCGGAUUCGCUGACUUUUUGGUACAACAAGUGAGUAUUUUUCGAUUAAAAUUUCACUUUUUCUACGAUUUCCCGCUGUGAUAAAUGGGAUUUGCCUGCCCCUUGAGUGAAAAUUAUUUCUAGCUUUUUGAGAGCAUUUUGGGAAUUGUAAAUAAAUCAUUCUGGAAACCAUUUCAAAUGAUUUUAUGCUUAAUUUGAUGAAAUUACACUAAAAGCCGGUUGCUUACUGCUAGACCCCCGCCGUGAAUGACGAAUUUCUACCUCAUUUCGUGGUUUUGUACUGAAAGGAAGCUGGAUUGUUACGGUAGAUUGUGCCUGCAUCAUUCUCGGAAUUGUAAAUUAAUCAUUCUAGAAACCAUUUUAAAUGACUUUCUGCUUAUUUGAGUGAAAUUACACUAAAAACCGGUUGCUGAAAGGAGUCGCUACAAUCCUUGACAAAAGUCCUUGGAACACCCUGUGACCAAUGAAAGAUUUUGAAGAAAUAAAGGUUUCCGGCUGUAAGAUACAGAUAUAUCCCCCCUCCCCCCAAAAACAAUGUUGGCUGAAAAGACUAUUACUUACCCUAGCUGAUAAACUGACAUUGGACGAAUUUCAAGCUUUGAAACUGUUGUUAUUCAACAUUGUUUCAAGGGGGAGAGGGGGAUGCUACUGAAUUUAUGCGAAAUUUUAGCUUGGUGUACCAAGACUUUUGGCAAGGAUUGUCUGAGCGCUUUUUUUUAAACCGUUAGUUGCAUGAAAAUCAAUGUUAUGGGGGUAGGGGUUCUUGGUAGCGCUGAUUUCAUUGGCGUCGAAAAAAAUUUGAUAUUUAAAAUGGAAUUGGCCUAAUUUAGCUAUUUUUCGAAUUUUAGAGAUAUUAUGAUUAUUAUUCACUUGUUUA